rnacentral:misc_RNA from 1 species
UUAACUAUUAUAUAGUACUCGGACGACAAAAAUUAAGAAUGUUGAGGUCCUCUGGCGGGCACAGACCAGCCAAAGCCAGUAGUCCUUUAGACAGUCCCGCCAAAGCAACAGAGGUAUUGUAAACAAAGGGUGGGAGAUAUACCCUAAAGGGCACAUUCUCGGUAAUGAUCCUUCCGCAGGUUCACCUACGGAACACUAACUCUUAACCCCUUUCAGGAGAAGGCCGGUCAUAUCUAAAUCCAAUGGUGACAGCCAGGUUAGCUGCACUUGGGACCACCUUUGUCUGAUCUGUGAACUGCUAUAGCAGCUGCUUAUUACCACUCAAGGUAUCCAAGCACAGUAAAGGUGUUGCCUAUAAUAAUAGACUAGAGUCAAGGCUUCAGUAUGGUAACACUCUGAUAGAAA